UGUAGAGACCCAUAUUUUUUUGGACCGUAUUUUUCUUUUGCAAUCGUAUGACUUGUCGAGAUAGACGGUAUGGAUUUACGGUGUGGCGUGUUCGUGAAAGGAUAUAAUGGUAAUUAUGUGAGAGGUGCACGUGUGUGUGUGGCGCGAGAAGCGGGGGAUUCCUCCCCCACCUUUAUCUUUUUCCCAGGGAGAAUAAUUCUCCCAUUUCUCUCCCUCACUCUUCGGCUCACUGUCUCUCUCUCCUCUCCUCCGAAAUUUUUCCUCCUCUCUUCUCUCUUCGAUUUCAUCCACCUAGGGUGAGAUUCCGGACAAGGCCCGAGUAUUAAAGUUGUUCUACGGAGCGCGGGCUUUCCGAAUAUCCAAGAAAAAUUACGAUCGGGCCACGUGAGAACUCGGUUGACUUGGUCAAAGGGUUGGGUUUUGCUCAAAACCCAUGAGGUAGGGAUUUCUUACGCUUGUUAUGCGUUUGUAUGUUGAUUAUGUUGAUAGAUCGUGCUUAAAAUCGUCGUUUGAGACUAUCCCUUUCAUUUCCGAAAUUCUGCAGAACAGGGUCUUCGUUGUUGGGGUUUUCUGCCGCCUUAAGCUCAUAAUUGAAUUUUGGUUCCUUCGUAUGAAAUAGAGUAGACUUAAAGCCUGUUCUAAUGCCGCUGGAAUCACUCGAAACCGUUGAGAAUUGAAUUUAUGGUGAUAUCUAGAAUACUGGUCUGCAAUCUGUCUCGUUUUCUGGGUUUCAGCCCACUUCGAACGACCAUAACUUCCUCGUCCGAUGUUCGUUUUAUGCAAACUUUAUAUCGGUUCGAAGACCUCGAAGUCAGCUUUCAUUCGCCACUGGAAUCGUCUUAAAACUCUUAGUACACAAAAAGUUAUGAUCGAUUGAGUGGAGGUAUGUCAAUCUGUCAGGCAGAUUCAUGUAGCCCCGGUAAACCCCUGUUUAACCACCCUUGGAGUGCAGAUUUGAUAAGGGUUCCUUCGUGACUUUUAAGCUUCGUUCAAUCGCACAACUAUUGAGACUGGAAUCACUCAAAAAUAUUAAAAACUCGAUUUAUAGUGAUUUGUAGAAGAUUGCCUUGUAAUCUGAAAAUCUGGGCAGCUCACUGAGCAGUGUUCUUCAUUGAUUAGCUAUGGUUAAACGACCCUAUUGGUUAUGGGUCCUUGUAGGUUUUAAAGAUGGGUAAGUUGGUGAUGUUUUGGCGUUGGAAUCAUUGAAAGUUAUUGAGUAUGCUAUUUUUAAUAAAUUUUUGAACACGGACUACUCUGCUGAAAAUUAGAAUAUUUGACAAUCAUUCCUAAGCUUGAAAAAUCGUAUCGUACGACUCGUCGAACGUAUCUGGGCCAUUGGUUUUUCGUUAGCAUAGUUGGAGUAUCGUCGUAAAGGCUAUAGUAGCGUGAAGGAGUCCGUGAACGUCGUAGACUAUAAGAAAUGUUGUGACGUGCUUAAUUGGUAGAGGAGUACUUGUUUGAUUAAAUUGAUUAAAUGACUUUUGGAUUCGAUUGAAUGAUUUGAUGUUUGUGGAACGCGGAAUGAACGUGAUGACAAAUAGUCACAAAGAGAUCUUUCAGGGCUCUUAAAUGAGUAAAUGCCUGGCAGGAGCUGUAUGCUCAAAUCGUAUAAUUUCAGGGCUCUUAAAUGAGUAAAUGCCUGGCAGGAGCUGUAUGCUCAAAUCGUAUAAUUUCAGGGCUCUUAAAUGAGUAAAUGCCUGGCAGGAGCUGAGCUGUAUGCUCAAAUCGUACGCUUUCAGGGCUCGUUAUCGAGUAAGUGCCUGGCAGGAGCUUAGGCUCAGACACAUGACAUGAAAUUGGUUUAUGAAGUUGAUGAAAGAGAUUCUGGCGAUUGAUGAUAAUGAGAAAUGGGAUUUGGUGAUGAAAUGUGGAAUGUGAAAGAUUGUGAAAUUGUACGAGAUGUAAUGAACGGUACUAAGGUUGUUGUUUAUUUACUUAGAAUGAUGUAGGAAUAUUGAUGGUCCUUGUUUGACAUAUGAGCAGAUAGAUCUUUCAUAUAGGUCGCCUAGAAUCCCUGACCAUAGUGUGCUACUGUUGACAGUCCUGUGUACUUGGGCUUAUCUGUCGUUACACUCUCACUCUAGAUGCAUAACUCAUCAUAUUUUCCUAUAACUUGCGUAUAGAUUUCUCUACUGGGCACGUGUAUGCUCAAACCCUAUCAUUUUCAGGUACAAAAAUAAGGAAGUUGGCAUGGCGUGCAUAUCGUGCUUAUUGAUCAUGUCUUUCAAAGGUAUAAAAGAGGCGAUUAUUUGCAUUUGAUUCGAAAGGAGUAUUUUUGGAAAGACAUUUGUUAGAACUGUAAUAUUAUUUUCUUCGGACAUUGGUAUUUCGAUAACUUAGGGCCUCGAGCCAGGGAUGUACUCAUUGAAUUUUAUUUGAGAACAGUGAACGGAAAGGUCUUUUGGGGUAUUACUUGUAUUACAGUGAGGACUUUAUUUAUUAAAAGUGUUUAUUAUUUAUGUCAAAAAUCGAGGGCGUGACAACUUGGUAUCAGAGCAUAUGUUUAGAAUACCUAGAGACCGUGGGGAGACUUUUAGUCUCAUGGGUUCAAAAUUCGUUGCAUAUUUUUUUUCAAAACACAAGUAUGCUUGCAUGAAUGAGUCGGUACAUUAUUGAGGUGUCGCAUAUUGUAUUAUGGUAGAGUGACAUUGAGUUGUUGACCUGCAUUGGGAAGUUGGAGGCUUGGACCUCAUUGUAGUGAUUGUGGCUAUAUUGAUGUGUGAAGCAAAAUAUAAGAUAGCAUGUGAUAAAAGGGAUGGAAUGUUGAUAUGACUUAUGAGAUGAGUGUUAAAUGUGUUUUUAAUUGAAUUGUUUGGAUUAUGUGUUAAGUUUCAAAUGUGUUAAGUUAAGCCUAUGUGAGAUAAACUGUGUAAGGUAUAAGUAUUAGGUGAAUAAUAUAUGCAUUGGGAAUUGAGUUAGUGCGUGUCUUGAAUGUGUUUGGAAGGUAAAGUCGUGUUGUGGUGAUAACUGUGGUUGGUUACUAUAGUGGUAGUUAUUGAGACAGUUAAUAUAAGCAUAGGUAGGGCAAGUCGAACCUACAUACGAGAUAUAAGUAUCUAAAGUUGAGAUAAGAAUAUGAGGGUUAUAGGUAGGGUGUCUAGAUACAGUAUGUGUCUCCUGGACACCCAGGCGACUACCGAUGAGAUCCAAUUGGAAGAGGCGCUUGAUCACCGCUCCUUCUAGAUGGAAGUCUCGGAAAGUCAAUUGGACACUAGGAUUGUGUAUAGGUGUUAGAUCUCUAGGCUUGAGAUAGAUGACUCUACGUAGGAAUUUCGUAGAAAAAUGAUGUGCUAUGGUGUCGUAGUCUUCAUUGUUGAGGUGAAUGUCGUGGUGGUGUCGUUUUGAUAGGAUGGUAAAAAAAAAAAAAAAGGGAAGAAGACUUGAGGUGAUAGAUUUGAGAGGGACUAAUGUUUAAAUAGUGGUAGUGAUAGCAGUGAUGGUGAUGAGAAUAGUGUGGUUGAUAUUAUUGAGGUUGAGUACAAUUGUGGUAAAUAUCUUUGAGGAAAAUUGAUGUCGUUAUGACUACUUAGUUGAAAGAAGAAAUUUGUGAGCUGUGAAACUUAUGGUGAGCGGAACUGUUAAAAGAUAUUGGUGUGAGAGAAUUGAUUCUUAGGUGAGAAGUAGUUGGAAUCUUAGAAUGUGAUGAGAAGUAUAGACAUGCUGUUUGCAACCCUCGAGUCUUGUUGGUAUUUAGGAAGGAGUUUGUAAAUUUGUUUGUGCUUGUAUUGGUGUUUAAAUUUUGGUAUCGAGAUAAUCAAUAGUUUUGGAAGUUCGUUAGUGCAACUAUUGCACACAUUGUGUAGGUAUUUGGGUGAUGAAAUGCCAUGUGAUUGUAAAGUUGAUAGAGAAAUGAUUAAUAUUGAUGUUGUGUAUUUGUUAUGUGAUAUUUGAGAUUGUGAAAAUGGGAAACAUGUGACUUGAGUAGACUAAUUGACGAGAGUAUUUGAGAUUGAUGGUUGAAAAGAACGAGAUUACCAUUGGGCUUUCUAGAGCCAUGAAAUGUGAAUCUGUGGAUACUUUGUGAGUUGGUGAGUCUGCUGGAUACUGAGUGAGUCUAUUAAUGCGUGGAUGUGUUUGGUGUUGUGUAAGCUACUAAAUUGUACCGUGGGUUGUUGAAAUAUUUCGUGAAUGAAAUGUGCUGUUGUUUAGCUUUAACCUACAUGUUUGAUUUAUUAUGUAAUCUCAAUGCGAGAAAUUUGCUUUUAGUAUACGAUGUAGAAUAAACAGUGAUGCUUAUGAGGGUAGUUGCUACGAGUGUAUGCCUUUCUUGAGUAGCAGUAACGAUGUUUGGAGAAUUGGGUUUAAGGAAAAUAGUGGAUUGAUAUUUUACUAGAACGGUUUUAAUGUGUGUUGUGAAAAGUUAUGUAGAAGGGACGCAUUACCAUAGAAGUGAGUUUAAGUUUCCGAAAAUAGAAACCAGUGGUGAUUCUCAGCGGGCUAGGGAAUGUGGAGUAUUGCUAGACUAUUGGUUAUGUUGGAAUGUUGAAUGGACGAAAAAGUAGAUGGGGUUUAAGCCGAGUUGGUAAAAGAGUUAUAUGGGUAGCCAGAGGUGUGAGUUGGUGAUUGUGGCUAGCGGUUUUGUUUAUAUGUGUUUGGUUGUGUUGACAAUUAUUAGCAGAAUCAAUAGAAUUGAAUAAGUUGUGAGGUGUGUUUAUUCUUAAAGUCGAGAGAAAGAUCAAUAGAUUGAAGUAUGGGCAGUUUGACCAUUAUGAGUGGAUGUUUAUAGCUGAGCAAUGGGUGAUGAGUUAUUAUGUGGUUUAGAAUUCGAGGCUUAUUAGUUUUGUUCCAAUGGAGAUUAUUUGAGGUUCUUUGGAUUGGUGAGUAAAGGUUUGAUUCAUUGAUUGAUGUUGAUUGAAAAAGAUAGAACUUGGAGUUUAGAAUUCGAGUUUUUCUGAGCAGCUUAAUUUGUCCUCCUAGAAAUUUCGAGGAAUACUUAGAGAACGUAAGGAGAUUGUUUGUUGGAUUUUGAUGUGAUUGUCAUGUUGGUAAGUGGAGUCUAAGAAUUUUGUACAGAUGUGAAGACUUGAGGAUUUGAUAAAAUGAUAGUGGUUUGCGAUUGAGUGUUGAGUGGUAGAACCAUAAUAAUAGUGAGGAUUUCGUGGAGUAAUCAAAAAAAAAAGAGAGGGUCUACAUAGAAAGGAGAGGAUGAUGUGAUUAUUAUGAGAUGGCAGUAUGAGGUUUGGUAUUGUGGUUUGUGACUUGGUUGGACUUGGAUGAGCAAAUUUCGAGGACGAAAUUAUUUUUAAGGAGGGUAGGAUGUAGAGACCCAUAUUUUUUUGGACCGUAUUUUUCUUUUGCAAUCGUAUGACUUGUCGAGAUAGACGGUAUGGAUUUACGGUGUGGCGUGUUCGUGAAAGGAUAUAAUGGUAAUUAUGUGAGAGGUGCACGUGUGUGUGUGGCGCGAGAAGCGGGGGAUUCCUCCCCCACCUUUAUCUUUUUCCCAGGGAGAAUAAUUCUCCCAUUUCUCUCCCUCACUCUUCGGCUCACUGUCUCUCUCUCCUCUCCUCCGAAAUUUUUCCUCCUCUCUUCUCUCUUCGAUUUCAUCCACCUAGGGUGAGAUUCCGGACAAGGCCCGAGUAUUAAAGUUGUUCUACGGAGCGCGGGCUUUCCGAAUAUCCAAGAAAAAUUACGAUCGGGCCACGUGAGAACUCGGUUGACUUGGUCAAAGGGUUGGGUUUUGCUCAAAACCCAUGAGGUAGGGAUUUCUUACGCUUGUUAUGCGUUUGUAUGUUGAUUAUGUUGAUAGAUCGUGCUUAAAAUCGUCGUUUGAGACUAUCCCUUUCAUUUCCGAAAUUCUGCAGAACAGGGUCUUCGUUGUUGGGGUUUUCUGCCGCCUUAAGCUCAUAAUUGAAUUUUGGUUCCUUCGUAUGAAAUAGAGUAGACUUAAAGCCUGUUCUAAUGCCGCUGGAAUCACUCGAAACCGUUGAGAAUUGAAUUUAUGGUGAUAUCUAGAAUACUGGUCUGCAAUCUGUCUCGUUUUCUGGGUUUCAGCCCACUUCGAACGACCAUAACUUCCUCGUCCGAUGUUCGUUUUAUGCAAACUUUAUAUCGGUUCGAAGACCUCGAAGUCAGCUUUCAUUCGCCACUGGAAUCGUCUUAAAACUCUUAGUACACAAAAAGUUAUGAUCGAUUGAGUGGAGGUAUGUCAAUCUGUCAGGCAGAUUCAUGUAGCCCCGGUAAACCCCUGUUUAACCACCCUUGGAGUGCAGAUUUGAUAAGGGUUCCUUCGUGACUUUUAAGCUUCGUUCAAUCGCACAACUAUUGAGACUGGAAUCACUCAAAAAUAUUAAAAACUCGAUUUAUAGUGAUUUGUAGAAGAUUGCCUUGUAAUCUGAAAAUCUGGGCAGCUCACUGAGCAGUGUUCUUCAUUGAUUAGCUAUGGUUAAACGACCCUAUUGGUUAUGGGUCCUUGUAGGUUUUAAAGAUGGGUAAGUUGGUGAUGUUUUGGCGUUGGAAUCAUUGAAAGUUAUUGAGUAUGCUAUUUUUAAUAAAUUUUUGAACACGGACUACUCUGCUGAAAAUUAGAAUAUUUGACAAUCAUUCCUAAGCUUGAAAAAUCGUAUCGUACGACUCGUCGAACGUAUCUGGGCCAUUGGUUUUUCGUUAGCAUAGUUGGAGUAUCGUCGUAAAGGCUAUAGUAGCGUGAAGGAGUCCGUGAACGUCGUAGACUAUAAGAAAUGUUGUGACGUGCUUAAUUGGUAGAGGAGUACUUGUUUGAUUAAAUUGAUUAAAUGACUUUUGGAUUCGAUUGAAUGAUUUGAUGUUUGUGGAACGCGGAAUGAACGUGAUGACAAAUAGUCACAAAGAGAUCUUUCAGGGCUCUUAAAUGAGUAAAUGCCUGGCAGGAGCUGUAUGCUCAAAUCGUAUAAUUUCAGGGCUCUUAAAUGAGUAAAUGCCUGGCAGGAGCUGUAUGCUCAAAUCGUAUAAUUUCAGGGCUCUUAAAUGAGUAAAUGCCUGGCAGGAGCUGUAUGCUCAAAUCGUAUAAAUUUCAGGGCUCUUAAAUGAGUAAAUGCCUGGCAGGAGCUGUAUGCUCAAAUCGUACGCUUUCAGGGCUCGUUAUCGAGUAAGUGCCUGGCAGGAGCUUAGGCUCAGACACAUGACAUGAAAUUGGUUUAUGAAGUUGAUGAAAGAGAUUCUGGCGAUUGAUGAUAAUGAGAAA